CAAAACAAAACAUAAAUAAGAAAAACAAGAUUCAAUUCAUUUAAAAAUAAAAAAACAUAAAACUAUAGUUUCUGCAUUGGAAGAAAAGCUGUUUUGACUUGUCUCCCAAACACCUAGUGUGAACCCACAUUUUGCAGGACGUACAUUGGGCCCACUGUUCCUUCGGAAGGGAUUGAAAGAAUUUUCCCAGGCAAUUUUUUCCUUACUUCAUCUUCUAAUGCUAUUUUAUCAGGAGUAUCCGUCAGGAUAGUUGUUCGCCCCCUUUUUUUUCCACCUCUUGCAGGAAAUGCUGCGAGUUUUGAUUUUGGAUACGGCAUAACAAUUUCUGGAGAAAAAGCAAUUCCUGUUGCAGUAAGAGGUAUAGCAGGGGAUAAAUUUAAGUUCGUGAUGGCUUCUGGCAUCAGCGCAGCUUGAGAUGAAGUUGAAGCUAAGGACUGAAGGACUGGGUUGGAACUUCAAGUGGAUUCGGUCUAUCAGUGACAUCGCUAGGGGAAAACUCAUCAUCCCCGGAAAUAUCUAGAUUAACUGGCCAAAUUCCGGAUACCCUGAAGCCUGACAAGAUAUUUGUGGGUGUAGCUGCUUUUUCCAGUGCAAUCUUUGAAAGCUCGGGUAUAUCGUAGAUUUUUAUACGAUUUCCUGAAAAAUGAUAAAACUUUUUAAGUCGGACAAUGAAGUUAAUUAAUUUUUUGAUUACCUGCAUUAAACCUCAUCCAAUUUCCACAAUCCACAUGUCUGAUUGAAAUAGGUUUUCAUUUGGCCAAAAACAGCCCGGUCUAAUGGCUAAAGUUUAUGUGAGCAGUGAGGAGGGAAAGUUGGUAGCACGAUACCAUUUUCUUUACAGAAAUUAACUACUGACAGAGAAAGGUGUGAUUGGUGAUUGUCAAGGAGGAUCAAUUUGCGAUUGGUUUCGGAGGCAUUGGUAUGUUUAACCAGGUGUUCCAUAAAGUUUAAAAACUCCGAUUGCAUCCAUCCCGACUUAUUUGAUGCUCUAAUACUGCCGAUGGACGCAUUUAGUGGUAAGUCCAUAAUAUAAAUCGGCACAGUGAUUUAUGUAAGCUUCCAACUUAUCCUUCAAUACAAAACACAAAACAAUGAAUGUUUACCUAAUUUUUUUUUAUUAAAAAAAAAAACACUUCGUAUUCAUCAUUAAAUACCCUGUUGUGGGUCUUAUAUCCAAUCUCUGGGUAAACGGCGUCCUCAGGGGAGUCUUCAGCAAAGGUUUUUUUUUACAAACCGACUUAAAGUUACAUGGCAGAUGUUAAAUGCUUUUGCUACACUUCAAAUGGAUUUUCCAUUUUUGAGAACUUCAUCGGCUUUAUUUGCCAUGAUCUGUCUUGAAACCAUGCCAAGCGAGAUUGUUCUGAUUCUUUGUCGUGGCAUUCUCGUUGUAAACUGCUUAUUAUUAAUUUUAAGUAAC